rnacentral:misc_RNA from 1 species
UUAAGAUCGUUACUCCAUGCAAGGAAUAAUAUGUAACAGCGUGAUGUGGAGUUAAGUGCUUCGCUCAGCGAUUGCGGCCAAAUCUAACGAUAUUCUACAGAGAAUCUACAGCAGUACUUCACUUCAAGACGUUCAAUGUGGCCAACAGUUUGCAUCCUGAGUAACUGCAGUCGGAUAUUGCCUCUUAUCAUCAGAUUACCUCCCCUUGCCCCUGCUCGGACAAGUAGGGCAGUGAGACAGCUACCAACGAUGGCUACAGACUACAGUACUCUGGCUCAACCUAAGCCCAUGGUGGGAGUGUGCCAGAUCACAGCCAGAGCAGAUAAAGAGGAGAACUUCAAGACAUGUGUUUCACUGAUCCAGAGAGCUAAAGCUAAAGGUGCACAGAUGGUGUUUCUCCCAGAGGCGUGUGAUUUCAUCGGCGAGUCACGUGACCAGUCCAUGAAGAUGGCAGAACCACUGGAUGGUGACCUCAUCUCUAGAUACCAACAAGUGGCUGUCGAUACGAGAGUGUGGCUGUCUAUUGGUGGAUUUCAUCAGCAGGGUCCGAAGAACGAGAAGCGCGUGCGGAACACCCAUGUCAUCAUAUCAAGUGAUGGUGAAAUUAAGGCUACCUACGACAAAAGUCAUCUGUUUGACCUUGACAUCAAGGACAAAGUGCGUCUAUGUGAGAGCGACUAUACUGUGCCGGGCAGCGAGAUCGUGCCACCAGUAGAUACACCUGUAGGACGACUAGGACUGGCCACUUGUUAUGACCUGCGGUUCCCUGAAAUGUCCAUAGCACUGACCCAGCAGGGAGCUCAGAUCUUGUCCUACCCCUCAGCCUUCACACAGACCACGGGCAUGGCACACUGGGAGGUGUUGCUGAGAAGCCGGGCUAUUGAGAACCAGUGCUAUGUGGUUGCCGCUGCCCAGACAGGGAGACACAACGCCAAGAGGACAUCAUACGGUCAUGCCAUGAUCGUGGACCCUUGGGGCCAUGUCGUGAGUGCUUGCCGUGAUGGAGUGGACGUCUGUGUGGCGGAGGUGGACACAGCAUACGUGGACAAAGUGAGGGAGGAGAUGCCAGUGUCGCAACAUCGUCGACAUGACCUAUAUGGUCAUAUACACACCGCAGCCAAGGGCAAGGCUGAUGACAGUCCGGAGUACAAAUUUGGCCAGCACAGCAUCAAAUCUAGCAACGUUUUCUACAGAUCAGCUCUGUCGUAUGGUUUUGUGAACCUCAAACCCCUCUUGCCAGGACAUGUGCUUGUAUCACCCCUGAGACCAGCAGAGAGAUUUUCCGACCUGACAGCUGCCGAGGUGGCUGACCUGUUCUCGGCUGUACAGGUCAUCACACGGGUCAUUGAGAAACACUACAAUGCCACGUCAGCCACAGUUGCCAUUCAAGAUGGCCCUGAAGCAGGUCAAACGGUCAUGCAUGUGCAUGUGCAUAUUCUGCCCCGGAAGAAGGGAGACUUUGAGAAGAAUGAUGACAUCUACACCAAGUUGGAGGAGCAUGAUCGAGAAAUUGGCUCAGACAGAAUACUGAGGACAGAGGAGGAGAUGGCAGCAGAGGCUCUGACACUCCGACCUUACUUCACAUAGUGUUUAAAGAUGAGAUGAGGCUCUCCUGUCCACACCCUACUGCUUAACACCAUCAUCACCAGUGAGGCUCUCCCCCAUCUCUUACUUGACACCACCAUCAUCACCCAAGUGAUGAGGUUGGGUGAUGAGGCUCUCCUUCCACCGCUUAUCUAACACCACCAUCGUCACCAACAGAUGAAGUGCUUACAUCCUUGUAGUCAAGAGAUGUUCUUAUCAUUAACAUAGAAUGUACAAGGAGUAUGUGUAUAGUUGUGAAGAUAACACUAGCGAGUGUUUCUUAAGAUGAACUUUUGUUUAAACAGACAGAUAUAUCUAUGAUGAACAGCUUACUGAUUACGGAGACUGUACAAGAAUUCCAGACAUCACUGAUGAUUCCGUGUUUAUAUACUACCAGUACUCCAUUGAAGUAAAGUAAUUAAACUUACAUGCAGGUACAUUAUUGUGAUAUUUAUUGAUUUUACAAUGAAUAAAACUAAUGAUGAAGAU